rnacentral:rRNA from 1 species
CAGUAGCCACGGUAAUACGUAGGUGGCAAGCGUUGUCCGGAAUUAUUGGGCGUAAAGGGCUCGCAGGCGGUUUCUUAAGUCUGGUGUGAAAGCCCCCGGCUCAACCGGGGAGGGUCAUUGGAAACUGGGAAACUUGAGUGCAGAAGAGGAGAGUGGAAUUCCACGUGUAGCGGUGAAAUGCGUAGAGAUGUGGAGGAACACCAGUGGCGAAGGCGACUCUCUGGUCUGUAACUGACGCUGAGGAGCGAAAGCGUGGGGAGCGAACAGGAUUAGAUACCCCGUAGUCCCUGUCUCUUAUACA